UCCUACGGGGGGCAGCAGCGGGGAAUAUUGCACAAUGGGGGGAACCCUGAUGCAGCGACGCCGCGUGAGUGAAGAAGUAUUUCGGUAUGUAAAGCUCUAUCAGCAGGGAAGAAGAUGACGGUACCUGACUAAGAAGCCCCGGCUAACUACGUGCCAGCAGCCGCGGUAAUACGUAGGGGGCAAGCGUUAUCCGGAUUUACUGGGUGUAAAGGGAGCGUAGACGGCAGGGCAAGUCUGGAGUGAAAGCCCGGGGCCCAACCCCGGGACUGCCUUGGAAACUACCGAACUAGAGUGUCGGAGAGGUA
rnacentral:rRNA from 1 species